AAAUUGUGCAUUCACGAUCGAUACACUACAAGAAAAUAGGAAUAGAAUGCGACAGAAACGGAAUGUAAGCAAGACGAACUUUGGUUACGAACUGGUCAGUCGGCGAGUGGGCAGUUAGGCCCAAGAGGGAGUGAAGAAUGAUAGUUAAUGAAAACCUGGAGAAUCGUGAAUACUAGAUGCAGCCCUGAGUCAGAGUCAGACGGGGAGAAGGAAGAAAGUAAGAAAAGCAGGUAAAGAGAGAGAAAGAGUCCUGUUCCGCGUGCACGCGUACAUAAAUGUUUGAGCGCACUUUUUCUAUGCAACUCGUUUGUGAUCGGAUGAAAACAGGUAGGACCAUCGAUAGACCAUGCAUAAUGAGAACGCGGCAGCGACAUGUUUUUCUUUUUCUAGGUAAAUUAUAGAACUAGCAUAUAUCCACCUACGUGUCGUUGCGAGCCAAGGAACAGCUGACUCGAACAGUCUUCCCUAUUACGGCGCGAUUGAGAGAUUCAAUACUUUUAGCAUUCUCGAAUCGUUGCAGCAGAUUGAAAAAAGAUUUUUAAUGAAUUAAUGCGAUUGCUUUAAAAAAAAAAAUUUACACUUGUUGACAAUUUAUGAAAUAUAUCUAUUUAUUUAUUAA